rnacentral:rRNA from 1 species
UGGCGGACGGGUGAGUAACGCGUGGGUAACCUGCCUCAUACAGGGGGAUAACAGUUAGAAAUGGCUGCUAAUACCGCAUAAGACCACGGUACUGCAUGGUACAGUGGUAAAAACUCCGGUGGUAUGAGAUGGACCCGCGUCUGAUUAGGUAGUUGGUGAGGUAACGGCCCACCAAGCCGACGAUCAGUAGCCGACCUGAGAGGGUGACCGGCCACAUUGGGACUGAGACACGGCCCAG